ensembl:snRNA U6 U6 spliceosomal RNA
GUACUUGCUUUGGUGGCACGUAUACUGAAAUUGGAAUGAUACGGAGAAGAUUAGUAUGGCCCCUGUGCAAGGAUGACACAAAUUCGUGAAGCGUUCCAUAAUAAA